CACGAACCGUCCAAACGUUAUUCGGAAUCACUGGGCUUAAAGGGUGCGUAGGCGGCGUUUUAAGUAAGGUGUGAAAUCCCACGUCUCAACCGUGGAACUGCGCUUUAUACUGGAAUGCUUGAGUAAGAUAGAGGUAAGCGGAACUGAUAGUGGAGCGGUGAAAUGCGUUGAUAUUAUCAGGAACACCAGUGGCGAAGGCGGCUUACUGGGUCUUAACUGACGCUGAUGCACGAAAGCUAGGGUAGCGAAG
rnacentral:rRNA from 1 species